AGUGAACUAGUACCGUGAGGGAAAGGCGAAAAGAACCCCGGUGAGGGGAGUGAAAUAGACCCUGAAACCGCGUACGUACAAGCAGUCGGAGCUCUCUUCGGAGGGUGACGGCGUACCUUUUGUAUAAUGGGUCAGCGACUUAAUGUAUGUAGCGAGCUUAACCGUUUAGGGGAGGCGUAGGGAAACCGAGUCUUAAUAGGGCGAUUAGUUGCAGGCUGUAGACCCGAAACCUGUCGAUCUAUCCAUGUCCAGGGUGAAGUUGUGGUAACACACAAUGGAGGCCCGAACUCACGCCUGUUGAAAAAGUCGGAGAUGAGGUGUGGAUAGGAGUGAAAGGCUAAUCAAGGCAGGUGAUAGCUGGUUC
rnacentral:rRNA from 18 species